CAUGCGCCCGAGCGUGCGCACAAGGAUGCACACGCAUCAGAGAAAAGUGCAGGAAAUGUGGACUAAGCCUUCCGUUUGCCAGGCGCUGUGCUAACACCUCACAGGCAUUGGCUGCUUACUCCGCCAGCAGCUCCGUGGGGCAGAAACUGCUGUGAACCCCGGUUAAUAGACGGGAAAACCAAGCACAGAGAGGGACCCCAUGGAAAGAAGAUCCAGGAGACUGGCGAAUGGAGACCAGCGUGAGCUUUUUAUCGAUAAACUGGGCAGCAUGGCCUCCUAUCUGUGGUCAGAGGUUUUACUGCGCUCCACUUUCCCGCCGUGGACCUGGGACAGCCCACCAGGGAAAACACAAACGAGUCAUCUCUCAAGCAGAACCUGCUUCCUGGGUCACAAUUUCUACCUCUGGAUCGGCAGCAUGAUCCCCCUGUCCCCCCAAGUUGUCUGCACGAGGCUUUAGAAGAUGUCCUCUCCAGCUGUCGCACGCAAAGGACUCACCUGGGUAUCUCGUGAAAAUGUAGAUUCUGACGGAGUAGACCUUGGGACUGGGGCCUUGAGAGUCUGCACCAGCCCUGAGUGAUGUCACUGUUGGUUGACCUAGCACGUUUGGAAUAGCAAGAUUUACUGGCUUUUGCCUCCAGAAGUUUUCCCACUCGGUUUUGCAUAUGCGGAUGUAGGCAGACAAACUCGAGAACGGAGGCAGGUCAGUGUCUGUAUAGAGCUUUGACUCUUACUUCCGUAAACCGUUCCUGCAGGGCUGCCCUCCCCCGGACUUUGCUCCUUCUUGUCCAUGUCCCUUUCCCUAGCUGGACAACCAGGAAGCGAUGUGUCGAUGCUUGUGUGUGCCACACCUGUGCCUCAGGUUGUCUUCCACUGUCAUACAACGUAAUUUCUUUUCAUUUUCUUUGAUGUCCCUUUUUCACUGGGAACCUGAUUCAGGAUACCGUGGAUGGUAGCUAAUGGUAACAGCAGGCCUCACAUGUGCACAAAGCACCUUAAUACCCACAAGACAGUAGGGGUAGAGGCUAUGGGCCAGGGCUCCAGAGUCUGCCCACCUACAUUCAAAUCCUGCCUCUGCUACUUUCUAGCUGGUAGGCCUUGGGCAAGUUACUUAACCUCUCUGUGCUUCCAUUUCAUCAUUUGCACAAUGUGGCUAACGAUGCUUCGUGAGUCGUUGAGAAGAUCAAAUGAGAUAAUGUGUGUGAGGCACUCAGAAGGGACCUGACAUAUAGGAGGCCCUAGAUCACAAUCGGUGAUGUUAUAAUUCCUCAAUCCCAUGAGGAAGCCGAGGGAACCCGAGGCUCAAUGAGGAGAAGUGAGUCGCACUCAGGAUUCCACAUCAAGAAUGGUGGCACAAUUGGGACCAGAUCUGACUCCAACUCCAGUGCUCACCGCACCCCCACCAUACUUCCAAAUGCCAAGUUUUAUUACCCUAAGAUUUUAGCACAGAGUGUGGCUGCUUUCCCAGCGUUCGACUGAUCUUUUGUUUCCUUUCCUUCUAAUGGAGCAUUUCCAGCUGGGGUGAUUCAUGGAUCUGGGACCGCAUGGCUCCCAUUAACUUCGAGGAAAGUCAUAAGGCAAAACCCACAUCAAUCAAGCUUCCAAAUUAUUCAUCCAUCUUUACAGGUGACACGUGGAUUAAGACGAACAGGGAGUGAAGUGGGUAUCGUACAAUAACUAUUUAGAUUUAUGAAAAUUGCCUAAGAGCUUAUGCCAAGUCCCCACACUGAACUUUGUUUUGUUUUCACAAGAUUGAACUUUAGGGAUGAGAGAGAGGAUGUCACAAGAGAAUGGCCUUGAAGCUUGAAGUCCGAGGGGCUGGGACUCCCAGCUUCACUACUAGUUAGACUUGUGAUUUUUGAGAAAGGCUUUUAACCUCUUAGAAUCUGUUUUCUCGUUCUGUUAUUCAUCCUUACGAUAAACCAAGGAGUUAGUUACUGUCCCCAUCGUACAGAUGUUGAAACUGAGGUACUGAGAAGUUAAGUGACUUGAUGGUGACCAAAAAAUAAAGCAGCCUUCGAACCCCCUAUAUUUGAGUCCAGAAACCUAUGUCCUUUUACCACUCUAGCCCAUAAAUGAAAUGACAAGUCUAAAAACAGCAGGCACUGUGUAGGAGCUUAAGAAACCUUUACUCAAUCUGAAUCUUGAGGAUACAACUCAUGUCAUAUUAAUCCCUUCUUCUCUAUUGUACCUUUGUACUUAGUAGGUUCUCAAUUAAUAAGAGUUGAGCUGCCUUAUUACCCCUCUGGAAAUGGUUCUGUUUUUAUUUAAUAAUUUUCUUAGAUGAAUUUUAAUAGGCAGACCACAAUGCUUCUUGUACAAUAUCUUCUGGACUGCGAGGCGCGGGCAUUCAUUAUUUUAUGAGACGCAUAUGUCAUGCAUAACACAGCCCUUUUCUUAAACCAACACAACAUGCAAAUAGAAAUUUCAUGUAAAAUCACAUUCAGACAGUCUCAAAGUAGAAACAGAUGUCUGAAAAAUAUGAACGCCAGGCUUAUUAAAUAUUUUAUCAUCAAAUAUUUCAUACAUUUCAAAAAUGUCAUCUGUGAAAACACAGAAAUACCGCCUCAGGAGAACCAAAAUAUUUAAUCACUUUCAAGAAAUUCUUAAAAAUAAGUCUUCACCUCAGAACUAUUCCAGGCAGAGAACAAAUUUCCAGGUGCUGCAAGCUAUAUUUAUUAUAUUUUCAUCAAAAUCAGUAACCUAGUUGAAGGAGAUACAGUAAUCAGUAAGGUCAUUAUUAGGUAAGAUAAUGACUUCUGAAUGAAUUCUCUCAUUAAUCUCAUUACAAAAUGGUAAUGGUACCUGACUAAUCAUGCCGGAGGGGAGAGCUGUGUUGAAUCAGAGCAAAAUUAAGGCUGUAAUCACAGAGCUGCUCUCUCCAUUUCUUCAUGAAAGCUUCGCUUGGGGUUUAGGGGCCGGUUUGAGGUUCCUCUGACCCUCUGAACUGCUGGUAGGGGGGUGCCUGGUGUAGCUAGGGGCGGGGUGAAGAGCCUUGGACAGCAGCAGUAGGGAGAACUGUCCUCUCCCUGCUUCUGUCCUCUACUUUCUGUGUGACCUUGGACAGCUCAUGCCUGUCUCUGGGCUCCAUUUCCGGUUUCCCUGACUUAGUCUCCUCUUCCACCCUUGCCUCUUAAACACAUAUGGCAGAUCACAUCACUCCCACAAUGGCUGCCCGUCUCACCCCAGGAAGAAACCAGAUCCUCACAUGGACCACGCCCCCAUUGCCUUCCGGACCUUAUCUACCAGCCUCCUCUGUGACUUGCUUCGCUUCAGCCACACUGACCUUGCUGUUUCCUCUGCCUCUCACUUCACGUAUCUGCAGGAUUCACCCCCUCACGUCUUUUCACGUCUUUGCUCCAAUGUCCAAUGUCACCUUCUCAAUAAUGCCCACCUGACCGCCAUAUUGAACACUGCAGUCCAUUCAUCGGUAUGCCAAUUUCCAACUACAUUUUCUUUCUCCACAUCCUUGUCGCCUCCCAACACGCUAUAUACUUUACUAAGUUUCUUGGCUGUCUCCCCCCACCCCCACCCCCACCGAAUGUAAGCUCCACAAGGCUAGGAUUGUCGUACACUCACACAUAUGCCUGGCACACAACUGAUGAGCAACAGCUCUUUGAUGAAUGUGGAAUGUAUCACAUGCUUGUGGGUUCCCAACUUUGCUGGACACUGAUGGAGGAACCCAGUGUGUGAGACGAUUGGCCAGGGAUGACGAAGCAUACGUGCUGCAGUGAGGCCCAGUCUGGCAGUAGGGCUGGCUUUGCUUUUCCAUCUUGCUAGAAACUGGAGCCACGUCAAGCCCCUUUAUUUCCAUGAGGACUGGCUGAGAACACACGUGGUGAGUUGCCAAUGUUGAGUCAGAGAAACCCCAACAGACAGGAGAGUUGAGUCAAAUCUAGUCUGAUGGAAUUAACAGAGACGAAAGGGAGGCCCUGUCCUGAGUCUCAACCCCAGGAUAGAGGUCCAGCGUCAGGAUGAUGGGGCUCCGCAGCAGGAGGCCUGCAGAGACCCCAGGGGGUUCAGCAGAUGGUGACUCCAGAUGUUUGCACAGACUGCUCGUGACCAAUGUAGGACAGGUAGCAAUCUCCUGCAACCCUCCCCGGUCACAGCACACAGAAACCGGUCAGGCAGUGGUGUCUUUGUUCACACUGCGCCGAUGAGAGAAUCUGGAACGUGACUGGUACUCACAGAUGCUCAAUGAGUGUGUGAAGAGCCUCUGGAUUGAGACUUGAAUAUGUUUGUUUCUGUGUGUCCCAUUUUACAGGAGGGCAAAAAUAAACCGUCCAGUGCUAACAAGGAGUCUAGAAACCGUAUCACUGAAGGGAGCAGGGAAAAUCCAAGGAUGUUUAACCUGGUCAGCAGAAGGCAGGAUGACAGUAAGCCUGGGCUUCCGUAACUGCAGGAACAGCAUGUAAAAGCUACGUCAUUUAUAUGUUAUGUGGGCUUUAGAGCAUGGACUGCAGGUAACUGGCCCCAGUGCCACCACACCACUGUCAAGUCUGGGGCAAACAUCACUAGCUGAUCAUGAAUAUUUUCCUAUUAAGCCAGACCAAACCUCAGAAUCCUUUUCAACACAGUGCCUCAAAUUCUCUCCACCAAUUGAAUGGAGCUGACAUAUAAGAGAAACCCUAUUAGUGAAACUUUAUCUAGAACACAAGGCUAGACCAAUGAUGGAAAUUCCAUUAACAUUAAGCGAGAACAUUUUGUGGGGGUUUUUUAUUUUUCUUUCCUUCCUUCCUUCCUCCUUCCUUCCUCCCUUUCUUCUUCCUUCCU